GCGGCCGCCAGCUCCUGCUCGGUGUCCAAAACAAAAUGGCCGCCACGUCCAGUGCUUGUCUGACCGGCUAAAAUGGCGUCUACGCAAUUACGUCAGGCGUCAGAUCCGCGCACGACUAGAGGGCGGGAAAGAUUUGAGCUACGCCUGCGCAGAGUUGAGAAGCUGAUGUCUCCUCGACUUCCAACUGGAACCUUGAACCCCCACAUUUCUGGACCUUGAGCAUUCCUCAAGUAGGAAGAUGUAAUGCACCUUGACCUCUUUCUAAAUAAGACACUUCCCCAAAUAAGGGGAGUUGAGAGUGAACAGUCUUCACGUCUCCACCCACUUCCAGAUCCCAGAGGAGACAGACAUCGGAUGGCUGAUAAUCUUCCAAUGGAAAUCCAUGGUUCAAGUGCCACCUCUUCAGGAAAGCCAUCUGACUUCAAUCAGGCAGCAGUGGAUGGUGCAGGGGAAAGAGGUGGGAAGGAGGUCCUGGGAGGGACACUGGAUGUCUUACCCCAAGCUGGGCCUUGCAGUACCUGUGGCUGGCUGUGCUGGUUGAGCCCGAAUCGACCACGGAAAUUUGACACCUCCGGGCUUGGAAGCAGCUCUCUCCUCCUUCCCCGCUGCUUAUAAACCUCAGCCCUGAGGCUCCAGC
rnacentral:lncRNA from 1 species